UCCGGCUUAUCACCGGCAGUCCCUUUAGAGUGCCCAACUUAAUGGUGGCAACUAAAGGCGAGGGUUGCGCUCGUUGCGGGACUUAACCCAACAUCUCACGACACGAGCUGACGACAGCCAUGCAGCACCUGUCUCCGGUCCAGCCGAACUGAAGAGGUCCAUUUCUGGUCCUCGCGACCGGGAUGUCAAGGGUUGGUAAGGUGGGGAUGACGUGGAACGGUUGGUU
rnacentral:misc_RNA from 1 species